GGGCGAUUAGCUCAGCGGAAGAGCGCUGCCUCGACACGGCAGAGGUCACUAGUUCAAGCCUAGUAUCGCCCACCA
rnacentral:tRNA from 1 species